rnacentral:lncRNA from 1 species
AGCGCGGGCGCAGGCGCCCAGAGGCGCACAGGAGACCUCAGGCCCAGACUCCACUCCCCAGCUGUGAAAGGGUUGCUGGCCAGACCCCCAAGCUAGCCCGCCAGGCCUCCAUAGAGCUGCCCAGCAUGGCUGCAUCCAGUACCAAGAGUUGGUGGGAGACGGGUGAGGUACAGGCUCAGUCUGCGGCCAAGACUCCGUCCUGCAAGGUUCUUUGGCAGUUGCACUGGGUACUGGCUGAGUUCUGGAAAACAGGAAUGUGAGCAGAGUGCUGCAGAUCUCCUUGUCAGGAGCACCUAAGAACUGGCAUGACUCUACACCCUCUCUCCUUCUGCAAUGACCUCGUGUCAAGAUGGCAGACCCGCAGAGAUGAAUGUGCCUGGAUACCUGAGUCACCAGGUGGAGGAAACUCCCAUUGACAUGCAUCACACUCCACAUAUGAAACCCUUCUUUUUCUGCACUGUCACUGGGGUUAGGGAUUAUUACUCACUGCAACUUAGCCUAGCAUUAAGUUGCUUGACUAAUACAAGUUUCAAUAAAUGUCGCUUCAUUUCCCAUGGC